AUAGAUUUCAAGGCUAUUUCAAAUUCAAAAGAAGAGUUCGAGUAUUUGUUUAUUAGAAAGAAACAAUGCCGCAACAAAUGAAUGUACUUUGCUGUUAUUCCUGUGAAAUGUUUCAAGUUCAUAUCGUGAAAAAAGAACAAAAAUGGCAGUGCAAAGUUUGUAAUGAAAAACAAUCUAUUCGGCGAGUUUAUUUUCAAGGAUCAGGACAAGAGUGUCGUUCUCAUGUGCAAGAAUUAAACAUGCAGAAAUUAAAAGAUCUUGAGUCAGAAUAAACAAUUCAUUCUGAUACAGAGAUGAUGGAGUUAAUGAAAUAUAAAUAAAUAAUUACGCAAAUAGUUUUAAAAGAAAAAGAACAAAAAUCUAUAAAUUCUGACUAAAUUUUGUUUAUUAAUA